AGAGCCUGGACACAGGUGGCUGCAUGGCUGUCGUCAGCUCGUGUCGUGAGAUGUUGGGUUAAGUCCCGCAACGAGCGCAACCCUUGUCAUUAGUUGCCAUCAUUUAGUUGGGCACUCUAAUGAGACUGCCGGUGACAAACCGGAGGAAGGUGGGGAUGACGUCAAGUCCUCAUGGCCCUUAUGGGUAGGGCUUCACACGUCAUACAAUGGUCGGUACAGAGGGUUGCCAAGCCGCGAGGUGGAGCCAAUCCCAGAAAGCCGAUCGUAGUCCGGAUCGUAGUCUGCAACUCGACUACGUGAAGUCGGAAUCGCUAGUAAUCGUAGAUCAGAAUGCUACGGUCGAAUACGUUCCCGGGCCUU
rnacentral:rRNA from 1 species